AGAACGAACGCUGGCGGCAUGCCUAACACAUGCAAGUCGAACGAGACCUUCGGGUCUAGUGGCGCACGGGUGCGUAACGCGUGGGAAUCUGCCCUUGGGUUCGGGAUAACAGUUGGAAACGACUGCUAAUACCGGAUGAUGUCUUCGGACCAAAGAUUUAUCGCCCAAGGAUGAGCCCGCGUAGGAUUAGCUUGUUGGUGAGGUAAGAGCUCACCAAGGCGACGAUCCUUAGCUGGUCUGAGAGGAUGAUCAGCCACACUGGGACUGAGACACGGCCCAGACUCCUACGGGAGGCAGCAGUGGGAAUAUUGGACAAUGGCGAAAGCCUGAUCCAGCAAUGCCGCGUGAGUGAUGAAGGCCUUAGGUUGUAAAGCUUCUUUACCCGGGAUGAUAAUGACAGUACCGGAGAAUAACGCCCGGCUAACUCCGCGCCAGCGACGCCGAC
rnacentral:rRNA from 1 species